UCGAGAAUUUUGGGCAAUGGGCGAAAGCCUGACCCAGCAACGCCGCGUGAAGGAUGAAGUAUUUCGGUAUGUAAACUUCGUAAGAAUAGGAAGAAUAAAUGACGGUACUAUUUGUAAGGUCCGGCUAACUACGUGCCAGCAGCCGCGGUAAUACGUAGGGACCAAGCGUUGUUCGGAUUUACUGGGCGUAAAGGGCGCGUAGGCGGUGUGUCAAGUCAGUUGUGAAAUCUCCGAGCUUAACUCGGAACGGUCAACUGAUACUGUCACACUAGAGUACAGAAGGGGCAAUCGGAAUUCUUGGUGUAGCGGUGAAAUGCGUAGAUAUCAAGAGGAACACCUGAGGCGAAGGCGGGUUGCUGGGCUGAUACUGACGCUGAGGCGCGAAAGCUAGGGUAGCAAACGGGAUUAGAUACCCCCGUAGUCCCUGAGCGGGCUGGCAAGGCGCAU
rnacentral:rRNA from 1 species